ACCAUGACAAACAAAGAAAGCUACAAUGGGCAGGAUUCGUCGUUGUGGAAGGAAAAUCGGUGCUCGUAGACAAGGAGCGAGGGGGGUAGCCAAGAUAUUGGUCAUGAAGUUUGCAGCCUAAUUUCUCUCUCAGGAUAUGAAUGGCAUGACUUGCUGGAAAUUCCUCAGCACGUCCCGCUAGCAGGAUGUUGGGCGGUUGCAAGUAUAUUAUCCAAUUAUGCACAAAAAUCUCUAUACUCCCAAGAAAAAAAAUUUUGUUGUGUUAUACCAAAGUAUACCAGAAUUUAUCAAGAAAUAUACCAAAAUUUGUGUCAUGUCGCCUUAAUUGCUAAUAAAUUGACUCCUAGCUAGCUAAUUUAUAUAUGAGAUGUCAAGUCGGUAUAAAGUAUGAAAAUUCUUGAUUACGUACAUGCAUGUUCCAACAGUAGUUGUCUAUCAUAACUUAAAGAUACUUACAAAAUGUAACUUAUCUUAGGAUCUUACAAAAGAAUGAAACAAAAUAUGUAGAUAUUUUUUUAUGAAAUACUAAAUUAGGCUUUACUAAUCUAGUUCUUGACUCAAAGUUGUUUCAAAAGUAAAAUCAUAACUAACUUCUAUUUUCGUGCUAUCAAAAAAUAAAAGCACAUUCCCAGAAUUUUGCAUUCUUGUCUUUUUCUUCUUAAUCAAAUGCCUCCUAGAUUUUGUAUAUGCAUUUAAAAUAGGUUUCAUGUUCAUCAUCUUAAACUUUUAUGUAGCUUCUAAUUUAUUAGUUAGACUUAACCAUUGUUUCCUUUUCUUUUUUGCAUCAUCCAAUAUUGUGGCAUACUUGGUACAACUUUACAAGCAUCAAA
rnacentral:lncRNA from 1 species